ensembl:snRNA U6 U6 spliceosomal RNA
GUGCUCGCUUUGGCAACAAAUAUACUAGAAUUGGAACGAUACAGAGAUUAGCAUGGCACCUGUGCAAGGAUGACACGCAAAUUUGUGAAGCAUUCCAUAUUUAA